rnacentral:rRNA from 1 species
GAUGAACGCUGGCGGCGUGCCUAAUACAUGCAAGUCGAGCGAAUGGAUUAAGAGCUUGCUCUUAUGAAGUUAGCGGCGGACGGGUGAGUAACACGUGGGUAACCUGCCCAUAAGACUGGGAUAACUCCGGGAAACCGGGGCUAAUACCGGAUAACAUUUUGAACCGCAUGGUUCGAAAUUGAAAGGCGGCUUCGGCUGUCACUUAUGGAUGGACCCGCGUCGCAUUAGCUAGUUGGUGAGGUAACGGCUCACCAAGGCAACGAUACGUAGCCGACCUGAGAGGGUGAUCGGCCACACUGGGACUGAGACACGGCCCAGACUCCUACGGGAGGCAGCAGUAGGGAAUCUUCCGCAAUGGACGAAAGUCUGACGGAGCAACGCCGCGUGAGUGAUGAAGGCUUUCGGGUCGUAAAACUCUGUUGUUAGGGAAGAACAAGUGCUAGCUGAAUAAGCUGGCACCUUGACGGUACCUAACCAGAAAGCCACGGCUAACUACGUGCCAGCCGCCGCGGUAA